rnacentral:tRNA from 1 species
CAUUAGAAAGCUAAACUAGGGUAACAGCAUUGGCCUUUUAAGCCAAAGAUUGGUGCCUCCCAACCACCUCUAGUGA